rnacentral:rRNA from 1 species
AAACUUUCAACAACGGAUCUCUUGGUUCUCGCAUCGAUGAAGAGCGCAGCGAAAUGCGAUACCUAGUGUGAAUUGCAGCCAUCGUGAAUCAUCGAGUUCUUGAACGCAUAUUGCGCCCUUCGGUAUUCCGGAGGGCAUGCCUGUUUGAGCGUCGUU